GGAGAGCUUUUCUUUGCAAGCCUGCACUAGCAAACAAGGUUACAGUGACAGCUCAUACUUCUAAAAGCUCCUCCUUCUCCAUAUGUAGGCUUUAAACUUUUGGGAAGGUCUUGUGGGAGCAUCUCACACUAAGUGAAACGUGGCACUUACAGACCCUUGCCUUGGCUUCAUGCAGUAUGUCAGAAGUUCAACGGUUUUCCAUGGACAAAACUACGAUUCAUGAACAUACCUCAUCAUGAAGAAGAAAAUAUUUGGUCUGGCAAUGGGUGAAAUUACCAUUUAUGAAGGUUGAUUGUACAUAAGACAACAUUUUGUUGGUCUGGCAAUGGGUGAAAUUACCAUUUAUGAAGGUUGAUUGUACAUAAGACAACAUUUUGGUGGACUGUCCAAGAACGAGGCUACCAUUAAUGAAGACACUGAUCUCCCAGGUGAUUCAGGGGUGACUGGGCUCAAGAAACAUGUUUCCAUCUUGUUGCACUUCUGUAUUCUUCGUUCUACAGAAGAAAUUCUUUAACCUCUUUUAUAAAUAUUGGCAAAUAUUGUCAUGGUAACUGCACAAUGCAUGAUCUAAUAACUUUAAAAAAAAAACAAACUCGUUUUGAAUUAGUAUAUUAAAGUGUAGAACAUAUUUGCAGCAUACAUAUGGUGGACUCAAUGAGAUAUUAGAUAUAUAUACAUGAUAAAUAGAUUGGAGCACAAAAUAACAAAUUUGCAGAUGUGCAAAGUACAUAACACAGUAUUACAACAGCACUGCAAUAUAUUUGGGAAACAAAAAAGCAAAA